rnacentral:tRNA from 1 species
GUGAGCGUAGCUCAGCCGGUCAGAGCACCUGGUUGUGGUCCAGGGGGUCGGGGGUUCGAAUCCCCUCGCUCACC